UACGGAGGGGGCUAGCGUUGUUCGGAAUUACUGGGCGUAAAGCGCGCGUAGGCGGACCUGCAAGUCGGGGGUGAAAGCCCGAGGCUCAACCUCGGAACUGCCUUCGAUACUGCGGGUCUCGAGUCCGGGAGAGGUGAGUGGAAUUCCUAGUGUAGAGGUGAAAUGCGUAGAUAUCGGGAGGAACACCAGUGGCGAAGGCGACUACCUGGCCUGUUCUUGACGCUGAGGCGCGAAAGCUAGGGGAGCAAACGGG
rnacentral:rRNA from 1 species